UACGAAGGGGGCUAGCGUUGCUCGGAAUCACUGGGCGUAAAGGGUGCGUAGGCGGGUUUACUUAGUCAGGGGUGAAAUCCUGGAGCUCAACUCCAGAACUGCCUUUGAUACUGAGGAUCUUGAGUUCGGGAGAGGUGAGUUGGAACUGCAGUGUAGAGGUGAAAUUCGUAGAUAUUCGCAAAGAACACCAGUGGCGAAGGCGGCUCACUGGCCCGAUACUGACGCUGAGGCACGAAAGCGUGGGAGCAAACAGGG
rnacentral:rRNA from 1 species